GACGAACGCUGGCGGCGUGCUUAACACAUGCAAGUCGAACGGAAAGGCCCUGCUUUUGUUGGGUGCUCGAGUGGCGAACGGGUGAGUAACACAUGAGUAACCUGCCCUUGAAUUUGGGAUAACUUCAGGAAAAUGGGGCUAAUACCCGAUAGAAGCUCCUGCUGCAUGGGGGUGGUUGGAAAGUUUCGGCGGUUGGGGAUGGACUCGCGGCUUAUCAGCUUGUUGGGGGGGUAGUGGCUUACCAAGGCUUUGACGGGUAGCCGGCCUGAGAGGGUGAACGGGCACAAUGGGACUGAGAUACGGACCAGACGGCUACGGGCGGCAGCAGGCGGGAAUAUUGCAGAAUGGGCGGAAGCGUGAUGCAGCAAUGUCGGGUGCGGGAUGAUGGGUUUCGGGGUGUAAACAGAUUUGGAAGGUGAUGAAGAGUGAGUGACGGUAAUGGGUAAAGAAGCAACGGCUAACUACGUG
rnacentral:rRNA from 1 species